rnacentral:tRNA from 2 species
GGUGAGGUUGCCUAGUGGUCAAAGGCGUGGCACUGCUAAUGCCAUACACCGACGGUGUACAGGGGUUCGAAUCCCCUCCUCAUCG